rnacentral:tRNA from 1 species
GCCUCCAUAGCCGAGAGGUGAGAGCACUGGUCUUGUAAAGCAAGGAUUGCGAGUUCAAUUCUCACUGUGGGCU